UACGUAGGGUGCAAGCGUUAAUCGGAAUUACUGGGCGUAAAGCGUGCGCAGGCGGUUUUGUAAGUCUGUCGUGAAAGCCCCGGGCUCAACCUGGGAAUUGCAUUCGAUACUGGCAAGCUAGAGUACGGUAGAGGGCGGCGGAAUUCCGGGUGUAGCGGUGAAAUGCGUAGAUAUCCGGAGGAACACCGAUGGCGAAGGCAACCGCCUGGGCCUGUACUGACGCUGAGACACGAAAGCGUGGGGAGCAAACAGG
rnacentral:rRNA from 1 species